GUUUGGCUAGCUCAGUCGGUAGAGUAUGAGACUUUUAAUCUCAUGGUCGUGGGUUAAAGCCCCAUGCUGUGUGCCAAAUG